CCUACGGGUGGCAGCAGUGGGGGAUAUUGCACAAUGGGGGAAACCCUGAUGCAGCGACGCCGCGUGGGUGAAGAAGUAUUUCGGUAUGUAAAGCCCUAUCAGCAGGGAAGAAAGAAGACGGUACCUGACUAAGAAGCCCCGGCUAACUACGUGCCAGCAGCCGCGGUAAUACGUAGGGGGCGAGCGUUAUCCGGAUUCACUGGGUGUAAAGGGAGCGUAGACGGCCGUGCAAGCCGGGAGUGAAAGCCCGGGGCCCAACCCCGGGACUGCUCUUGGAACUGUGCGGCUGGAGUGCGGGAGGGGCAGGCGGAAUUCCUGGUGUAGCGGUGAAAUGCGUAGAUAUCAGGAGGAACACCGGCGGCGAAGGCGGCCUGCUGGACCGCGACUGACGUUGAGGCUCGAAAGCGUGGGGAGCGAACAGGAUUAGAUACCCCAGUAGUC
rnacentral:rRNA from 1 species